rnacentral:rRNA from 1 species
AUUGAACGCUGGCGGCAUGCCUUACACAUGCAAGUCGAACGGUAACAGGUCUUCGGAUGCUGACGAGUGGCGAACGGGUGAGUAAUACAUCGGAACGUGCCCGAGAGUGGGGGAUAACGAGGCGAAAGCUUUGCUAAUACCGCAUACGAUCUCAGGAUGAAAGCAGGGGACCGCAAGGCCUUGCGCUCACGGAGCGGCCGAUGGCAGAUUAGGUAGUUGGUGGGAUAAAAGCUCACCAAGCCGACGAUCUGUAGCUGGUCUGAGAGGACGACCAGCAACACGGGGACUGAGACACGGCCCAGACUCCUACGGGAGGCAGCAGUGGGGAAUUUUGGACAAUGGGCGCAAGCCUGAUCCAGCCAUGCCGCGUGCAGGAUGAAGGCCUUCGGGUUGUAAACUGCUUUUGUACGGAACGAAAAGACUCUGGUUAAUACCUGGGGUCCAUGACGGUACCGUAAGAAUAAGCACCGGCUAACUACGUGCCAGCAGCCGCCGUAA